rnacentral:rRNA from 1 species
UACGAAGGGACCUAGCGUAGUUCGGAAUUACUGGGCUUAAAGAGUUCGUAGGUGGUUGAAAAAGUUAGUGGUGAAAUCCCAGGGCUUAACUCUGGAACUGCCAUUAAAACUUUUCAGCUAGAGUAUGAUAGAGGAAAGCAGAAUUUCUAGUGUAGAGGUGAAAUUCGUAGAUAUUAGAAAGAAUACCAAUUGCGAAGGCAGCUUUCUGGAUCAUUACUGACACUGAGGAACGAAAGCAUGGGUAGCGAAGAGG